ACUCAAAUGAAUAGACGGGGACCCGCACAAGCAGCGGAGCAUGUGGUUUAAUUCGAAGCAACGCGAAGAACCUUACCAAGACUUGACAUCGAGUGCAAGCCGUGGAAACACGGUCCUCCUUCGGGACACGAAGACAGGUGGUGCAUGGUUGUCGUCAGCUCGUGUCGUGAGAUGUUCGGUUAAGUCCGGCAACGAGCGCAACCCUUAUGAUCGGUUGCCAAUAUUCAGUUAGGAACUCCGGUCAGACUGCCGCGGAUAACGCGGAGGAAGGCGGGGAUGAUGUCAAAUCAUCAUGCCCCUUACGUCUUGGGCUACACACGUGCUACAAUGGGCGCUACAAAGAGCAGCGAUGUCGUAAGGCGGAGCGAAUCUCAUAAAAGCGUUCUCAGUUCGGAUUGAGGGCUGCAACCCGCCCUCAUGAAGCAGGAGUUGCUAGUAAUCCCGGAUCAGCACGCCGGGGUGAAUGCGUUCCCGGGUCUUGCACACACCGCCCGU
rnacentral:rRNA from 1 species